rnacentral:rRNA from 1 species
GCUAGCUACAGGCUUAACACAUGCAAGUCGAGGGGCUGCAUGGUCUUAGCUUGCUAAGGCCGAUGGCGACCGGCGCACGGGUGAGUAACACGUAUCCAACCUGCCGUCUACUCUUGGACAGCCUUCUGAAAGGAAGAUUAAUACAAGAUGGCAUCAUGAGUCCGCAUGUUCACAUGAUUAAAGGUAUUCCGGUAGACGAUGGGGAUGCGUUCCAUUAGAUAGUAGGCGGGGUAACGGCCCACCUAGUCUUCGAUGGAUAGGGGUUCUGAGAGGAAGGUCCCCCACAUUGGAACUGAGACACGGUCCAAACUCCUACGGGAGGCAGCAGUGAGGAAUAUUGGUCAAUGGGCGAGAGCCUGAACCAGCCAAGUAGCGUGAAGGAUGACUGCCCUAUGGGCUGUAAACUUCUUUUAUAAAGGAAUAAAGUCGGGUAUGGAUACCCGUUUGCAUGUACUUUAUGAAUAAGGAUCGGCUAACUCCGUGCCAGCAGCCGCGGUAAUACGGAGGAUCCGAGCGUUAUCCGGAUUUAUUGGGUUUAAAGGGAGCGUAGAUGGAUGUUUAAGUCAGUUGUGAAAGUUUGCGGCUCAACCGUAAAAUUGCAGUUGAUACUGGAUAUCUUGAGUGCAGUUGAGGCAGGCGGAAUUCGUGGUGUAGCGGUGAAAUGCUUAGAUAUCACGAAGAACUCCGAUUGCGAAGGCAGCCUGCUAAGCUGCAACUGACAUUGAGGCUCGAAAGUGUGGGUAUCAAACAGGAUUAGAUACCCUGGUAGUCCACACGGUAAACGAUGAAUACUCGCUGUUUGCGAUAUACUGCAAGCGGCCAAGCGAAAGCGUUAAGUAUUCCACCUGGGGAGUACGCCGGCAACGGUGAAACUCAAAGGAAUUGACGGGGGCCCGCACAAGCGGAGGAACAUGUGGUUUAAUUCGAUGAUACGCGAGGAACCUUACCCGGGCUUAAAUUGCAGAUGAAUUACGGUGAAAGCCGUAAGCCGCAAGGCAUCUGUGAAGGUGCUGCAUGGUUGUCGUCAGCUCGUGCCGUGAGGUGUCGGCUUAAGUGCCAUAACGAGCGCAACCCUUGUUGUCAGUUACUAACAGGUUCCGCUGAGGACUCUGACAAGACUGCCAUCGUAAGAUGUGAGGAAGGUGGGGAUGACGUCAAAUCAGCACGGCCCUUACGUCCGGGGCUACACACGUGUUACAAUGGGGGGUACAGAGGGCCGCUACCACGCGAGUGGAUGCCAAUCCCCAAAACCUCUCUCAGUUCGGACUGGAGUCUGCAACCCGACUCCACGAAGCUGGAUUCGCUAGUAAUCGCGCAUCAGCCACGGCGCGGUGAAUACGUUCCCGGGCCUUGUACACACCGCCCG